GAGAGGGCAAGCAAGCAAGUAUGCCAGGUUAGGACCUUCCUGCGAUCGACCUUGUUGAGCGGCCCGGUCUGCCUAGUUAAUGUUUGAAGGGCGCUCAUCUUGGUGUAGGCCACCUUGACUACCUAUUGCAAUUCCAGUCUAUGCAAUGACUAAAAACUGAUUUUAAAUAACGGGGUCAGAGCAAGCCCCGCGCCCUCACGGUGCAAUCGUAAAUUGCUCCUGCCAUUGUGUUCUGGGUACCUCUGCAGCUUCCUCACAGGCCACAGUUCUGCCAGUCACGAUUCAGUGAAGAGCUGAGCUGAGCAUCGUACCUUCCAUUUCCUAUUUUGAAUCAAUGUGAUUGCUAUAGUUGCAUACAGUCCGGUGUCCAUCGGGGUAAUGACCAGAUAACUCCCAGAGUUUCACUGCCUCUCCCUAGCCACAGUGAAGGCUGUCAAAGGUGACCUGGCUUCUCUCAACUCCUAGGGAUAAUUAGCUGCUGGGUGUUCCCAUCUUAAGAUGGGAACCCUUUCACAUUUAGGAGACAUUUAGGCCUGGGAUGCACAGUAUAUGCAGAAGCCAGGGAGCAUACAGAAGUGGGUUUGGUGGCCCAACACCAUUACAGCGAGUCAGGGAUUAUUCAGUUUCAGGGGACAGUAGUUGGGGGGAGGGGUGGAGCAGUGUCAGGCAAUUUGCAUCUGGCUGUCCACAGGGGUGGAGUGGGCAUGGUUACCACGGAGCAGACUUGUAAAAUACUCCAAACUGAGCCCAGUUUCUGGUAUGAGAAUUAAACUGGAUGAGAUGUAUGAGAUGUAUGGUGAUGGCUGAAGCAUGGUUCAGCACUACUUGCCUGCCCUUCCCUGGGCCCUCAGUUCCACAUUCAUACCACACACAGACAAAACCAGUAAAGCUUCAUAAAACUGUAUUUGUACUGCAGAUGGGGAUCCCAAGAUGGCACCAAAACAAGCGGGUCCUUGUCUGGGCGGCCAGGGGCCUGGCUGUCCCUGGGCACAUAAGAAGCAGUUUCCUUUUCUACCCCAAGCUACACAGAGAAAUGCUCUGCAGAACAGGAAACCUGGCGACACCAGGCUAAGCUCUGGCUUCUCCCCAUAACGGUGUUCAAGCCUGAGCGGGUUCCAGGUGACCAAGACAGUAUAGUAUCAGUGUAUCCUGAGUAUGACAAGGGUGCGACAGCUAAUGGCUCUCAGUGCACCAGGUGCCACACAGAUCCAUUCCUGUGGCCUGGACAGAGGCCAGUGAAUAGUUAUCAGCAUGAGUUGGCACCUGUGGGUCUCUUCACUGGCGAGUGACAUGCUGGGCCUGGUCAACCCCAUGAACAGGAAGUAUCGGUAAAGCACCACUCAGGCAUGUCCCUUCUCCCACAUAACCUGUACAUACUGGCAAAGAUCAGUCCAAGCUUCCCUGGCCAGCCUUGGGCUGUCACAGCCACCCGCUGGGGUCAGCCCAGCACACACCAUUUCUUCACUACUUACAGAUAUCAGGGCCACAGGCCCGAGCAGUCACCGAUCUCCCUGCUUACUUGAAGACAAUGUCUCACCCAGGACACAUUAGAAACACCGGAAACUCAAAGUUGAGAAGCAAAGUCCUCACAUUUACAAAAAAGCUCUUCCCAACCCGAAAUUCAUCCUUAGAGCAUCGUAUUAAAAAUAUAAAUAACUCUGACAGAAAGUUUGCAAGUCCACACUUCUAAACCUUCCCUAGGAAGUCUGUGCAGGGCCAUCCACAACGCAAGCAUUCUGGGCCCAAAGCAUAAGUGUGCCCGCUGUAUCCUGGUCCCGGCCCUGAAAGGUUGGCUUGCUGUCUCAUGGCAGCAUGAGCAGUCUCACAGGAAGAGUCCGGGCUGGAGGGUCUCGGGGUCUCUGGCACCUCCCACUUCCUGGGCCCAGGAGCACAGUGGUUUCAUCUCCAGCCAAUCAGGCCGUGAAAUAUAUGGUUCUAUAUCAGCAUCUCCUCUUCCUCUUCUUCACCUGCAGCUCUGAGUAGGUGCAGACUGUCCUCAUCAGAUGCAUCUGAGUCCUCUUCUGUGUCCACAGGUUCCAGGGUGCGUUUCAUGCCCCGCUGCUUGGAAACUGCCAGCACGUACUGGAUGUUGAAGCGGUUCCAGUCACAGCUGGGGACAGAAGGCGUUAGGUCAGCACCAGCAUCCUGCUCGGCUGCCACCAGCAGGAUCAGGUGCAGCUGUCCCCAAAACUUAUUCCCUCCUUAAUUCAGUUCCAGCUCUACCCGGUGUAGUGCAGCAUCUGGCCUGCUCUCCUUGCUGGCCCUUCCAUUACAGAGGCAUUCCACUGACAGAGGCAGGGGGCUGAUUCUCCACAUUCACAGGACAAAGGGCACGUUUCUGGCCCUAUCUCCCAGAACCAUGAGUGGGGCAGAAGCCAGUAGAAAGGAACAGCUGCACAUUAAACUUGUGGGUGUCAUGCGACCUAUACAGGGCUGCCUCGCAAACCUCACAAAGCCAGUCAUGCCAAUGCCUUGGACAUAAACCAGACAGCAGCAAUGCUCAGAAGGAGAUGGAGGGGCAAGAGUACUCUCUUAAGGAGCUGUGGAGUCACAGGCGCGCCAGCCAGGGAAAGAUUGGCACCAUGCACCUUGCUAAGCAGAUCCACACCUUAGUAAAGCCACCUCCAACACCAGUCUUCCUGCAGCCAGGCAGGACUCUAGGAAGGAAAGGGCACGAAGAGGAAGGGUCUGCUUGUGACUUGGAGAAGCAUUGUAAAGAUAAUCGGGAGGGCUAUGGGACCACAGUGCCCCAGUGCCAGCCUCUCUCAGAGACUCUGUAUGGAGAGACUAGCAGACAAGCAUAUUAUAAGCCUGGCAGGAACACAUAGCAUAGCAACUGCUCAGUGACAGAUAGAUGAUAUGGGGAUGUAUGGGUCACAGGCCACC
rnacentral:lncRNA from 1 species